rnacentral:rRNA from 1 species
GUUGUAUAGUCAAGUAAUUAAGUGCAUGUGGUGGAUGCCUUGGCAGUCAGAGGCGAUGAAAGACGUGAUAGCCUGCGAAAAGCUCCGGGGAGGCGGCAAAUAUCCUUUGAUCCGGAGAUGUCUGAAUGGGGGAACCCACCUACUUUAAGGUAGGUAUUGCAACAUGAAUACAUAGUGUUGCAAGGCGAACGAGGGGAAGUGAAACAUCUCAGUACCCUUAGGAAAAGAAAUCAAUUGAGAUUCCCUCAGUAGCGGCGAGCGAACGGGGAUCAGCCCAUUAAGUUAUGUGUGUUUUAGUGGAACGCUCUGGGAAGUGCGAACGUAGAGGGUGAUAUUCCCGUACACGAAAGGGCACACAUAAUGAUGACGAGUAGGGCGAGGCACGUGAAACCUUGUCUGAAUAUGGGGGGACCAUCCUCCAAGGCUAAAUACUCCUGACUGACCGAUAGUGAACCAGUACCGUGAGGGAAAGGCGAAAAGAACCCCUGUGAGGGGAGUGAAAUAGAUCCUGAAACCGCAUGCAUACAAGCAGUGGGAGCACCUUCGUGGUGUGACUGCGUACCUUUUGUAUAAUGGGUCAGCGACUUAUAUUCAGUAGCGAGGUUAACCGUAUAGGGGAGCCGUAGAGAAAUCGAGUCUUAAUAGGGCGUUUAGUUGCUGGGUAUAGACCCGAAACCAGGCGAUCUAUCCAUGAGCAGGUUGAAGGUUGGGUAACACUAACUGGAGGACCGAACCCACUGUCGUUGAAAAGCCAGGGGAUGACUUGUGGAUAGGGGUGAAAGGCUAAUCAAGCCUGGUGAUAGCUGGUUCUCCCCGAAAGCUAUUUAGGUAGCGCCUCGGACGAAUACCAUAGGGGGUAGAGCACUGUUUCGGCUAGGGGGUCAUCCCGACUUACCAAACCGAUGCAAACUCCGAAUACCUAUGAGUACUAUCCGGGAGACAGACUGCGGGUGCUAACGUCCGUAGUCAAGAGGAAAACAAUCCAGACCGCCAGCUAAGGCCCCAAAAUCAUAGUUAAGUGGGAAACGAUGUGGGAAGGCAUAGACAGCUAGGAGGUUGGCUUANNNNNNNNNNNNNNNNNNNNNNNNNNNNNNNNNNNNNNNGAAGCAGCCACCCUUUAAAGAAAGCGUAAUAGCUCACUAGUCGAGUCGGCCUGCGCGGAAGAUGUAACGGGGCUAAAACUAUGUGCCGAAGCUGCGGAUGUAUACUUUGUAUACGUGGUAGGGGAGCGUUCUGUAAGCCGAUGAAGGUGUGUUGAGAAGCNNNNNNNNNNNNNNNNNNNNNNNNNNAUGCUGGAGGUAUCAGAAGUGCGAAUGCUGACGUGAGUAACGACAAAACGGGUGAAAAACCCGUUCGCCGAAAGACCAAGGGUUCCAGUCCAACGUUAAUCGGGGCUGGGUGAGUCGACCCCUAAGGCGAGGCCGAAAGGCGUAGUCGAUGGGAAAAUGGUUAAUAUUCCAUUACUUCUGUGUAAUGCGAUGAGAGGACGGAGAAGGCUAAAUCAGCCUGGCGUUGGUUGUCCAGGUGAAAGGAUGUAGGCAUGUAUCUUAGGCAAAUCCGGGGUACUCUAUGCUGAGAUCUGAUAGCAAGCUGUACUUGUACAGCGAAGUGGUUGAUGCCAUGCUUCCAGGAAAAGUCUCUAAGCUUCAGUUACACAGGAAUCGUACCCGAAACCGACACAGGUGGUCAGGUCGAGUAGACCAAGGCGCUUGAGAGAACUCUGCUGAAGGAACUAGGCAAAAUGGUACCGUAACUUCGGGAGAAGGUACGCUGUUGUUGGUGAUGGAACUCGCUUCCUGAGCUGACGACAGCCGCAGAAACCAGGCCGCUGCAACUGUUUAUUAAAAACAUAGCACUCUGCAAACACGAAAGUGGACGUAUAGGGUGUGAUGCCUGCCCGGUGCUGGAAGGUUAAUUGAUGGGGUUAGCGUAAGCGAAGCUCUUGAUCGAAGCCCCAGUAAACGGCGGCCGUAACUAUAACGGUCCUAAGGUAGCGAAAUUCCUUGUCGGGUAAGUUCCGACCUGCACGAAUGGCAUAAUGAUGGCGGCGCUGUCUCCAGCAGAGGCUCAGUGAAAUCGAAAUCGCUGUGAAGAUGCAGUGUACCCGCGGCUAGACGGAAAGACCCCGUGAACCUUUACUGCAGCUUGACACUGAACUUUGACCUUACUUGUGUAGGAUAGGUGGGAGGCUUUGAAGCUGGAACGCUAGUUCCAGUGGAGCCGUCCUUGAAAUACCACCCUGGUAAUGUUGAGGUUCUAACUCUGUCCCGUGAUCCGGGACGAGGACCGUGUCUGGUGGGUAGUUUGACUGGGGCGGUCUCCUCCUAAAGAGUAACGGAGGAGUACGAAGGUGCGCUCAGCGUGGUCGGAAAUCACGCGUAGAGUAUAAAGGCAAAAGCGCGCUUAACUGCGAGACCCACAAGUCGAGCAGGUACGAAAGUAGGUCUUAGUGAUCCGGUGGUUCUGUAUGGAAGGGCCAUCGCUCAACGGAUAAAAGGUACUCUGGGGAUAACAGGCUGAUACCGCCCAAGAGUUCAUAUCGACGGCGGUGUUUGGCACCUCGAUGUCGGCUCAUCUCAUCCUGGGGCUGAAGCAGGUCCCAAGGGUAUGGCUGUUCGCCAUUUAAAGAGGUACGCGAGCUGGGUUUAGAACGUCGUGAGACAGUUCGGUCCCUAUCUACCGUGGGCGCUGGAAAUUUGAGAGGAUCUGCUCCUAGUACGAGAGGACCAGAGUGGACGAACCUCUGGUGUACCGGUUGUGACGCCAGUCGCAUCGCCGGGUAGCUAUGUUCGGAAGGGAUAACCGCUGAAAGCAUCUAAGCGGGAAGCCUACCUCAAGAUAAGAUUUCCCUAGGACUUUAUGUCCUCUAAAGAGCCGUUCGAGACUAGGACGUUGAUAGGUUGGAUGUGGAAGCAUAGUGAUAUGUGAAGCUGACCAAUACUAAUUGCUCGUGAGGCUUGACUAUACAACACCCAAGCAGUUG